rnacentral:rRNA from 1 species
UCUGUGCUAAGGUAGCGAAGUCAUUAGUUCUUUUAUUGGGAACUUGUAUGAGUGGGGGAAUGGAAAUUAUAUAAUGAAGUUUUGUUUUUGAUGAAUUUUAAUUUUGUGUGAAAAUGCAUAAUUUUCUUUAAAGACGAGAAGACCCUAGAAUCUUUAUUUUAUUUAAUUUAGAGUAAUUUUUACUUGGGGGAAGGAUUAAUUUUUAUUGGUGAUUUUUUUAUAAUGAACUUUUGUUAGGUUAACUGUAUAGAUACUUUAGGGAAAACAGGAUUAUUAAGCUUAAAAGUUCUUAUUUUAGGUUGGAGAUUGUUACCUCGCUU